rnacentral:lncRNA from 13 species
GGCAACCAGGCAGGAAAAGGUGGUGGAGCAGACUUGCUGAGUCUUCCAGUCCUACCUUUCUCCCGUGCUGGAUGAUUCCUUCCCUUGAACAUCAGACUCCAAGUUCUUCAGCUUUUGAACUCUUGGACUUACACCAGUGGUUUGCCAGGGGCUCUCAGGACUUUGGCCACAGACUGAAGUCUUCACCAUCACCUUCCUCACUUUUGAGGUUUGGGGACUUGGACUCAUGCACCACUGGCUUCCUUGCUCCUUGACCUGCAGACGGCCUAUCAUGGGACUUUGUGAUUGUAUGGAGUCUCACUAUAUUGCCAAGGCUGGCCUGGAAAUCCUGGCUCAAGGGAUCCUCAGCCUCAGCUUCCCAAGUAGCUGUGACUCCAGGGGAAGGCAGACUUUUGAUGGCUCUUCAUUUCAUCAUCGUUAGUCAGAAUAAUUGUUAAAUAAUUGUUAAAAAUGUUUUUUGGCUAACAAUGGACAACUUUAUUCAAUAAUAAGGUUUGCUAGGUUUCGAGCUUUUGCUUUGUGACCUUAACCAGCCACUUCGCCUCUCUGACUCAGGUUUCUCAUAUUUAAGAAGUGAGAUAACCCACAACACAGCAAUGUUGCAAGUAUUGCAUGGAGGAAUGGCGUCUAGCUUGCAGCAGAACUUUGCACGUGUGGUACAUCCACAAUAACAGUGACAGGGGAAAUGAUGAGUGAAUGCACUUUGGGAGGAGCAAGGGACAGAGUUGAUGGAAGAGGAAGAAAUCAAUCUAUUAGGAAUCUGCAAGUCUGAAGCAAACUUGAAAGAAAAAAUGAGAACAAAACAUUGAUUUUUAAAGAUUAUGGUGAAAAACAAUAGAAGAGCCCAAAUCGCACCUAUAACCAGUGGUGGGAUAGACUCCACUUGCAUAUACAUACAUAUCCACACAGAUCCUCACACACACACCACACUCAUGUACACACUCAUCCACAUACGCUGACUGACAUAUACAUGUAUAUGUACACAGAAGGCAUGGUUUGGGAAGCCAUAGAGAGUGAGACCUUUUUAAUUAUGUGUUUAUCUGAAAUAUUCAGCCUGCCUCAGUCUUACCAUCAGGAGAAUCCAAGGCUGUUUCUGGCACAGCUCUACCCCAGAUACAGGUCAUUCAUUUGACUACACUUUGACUUGACCUUGUAAACAAGCUUCUGCCUCUUCUGUGGGCCAUGUGGUUUCUGUGGUCUUUUAUUUUUUAACCUGUUAGAACACUUUUAAGUUCAGCUUUGUGGAUUUGACAUCCCACUCCCACUGGAACCUGAAAGUGGUUUCCUAUUUCUGGUUUAUUGCUAAGGAAUGAUGAGAAAUAAAGAGCAUUAGAGCAAGAUCA